rnacentral:rRNA from 1 species
AUGUGGUUUAAUUCGAAGCAACGCGAAGAACCUUACCAGGUCUUGACAUCCUCUGACAACCCUAGAGAUAGGGCUUCUCCUUCGGGAGCAGAGUGACAGGUGGUGCAUGGUUGUCGUCAGCUCGUGUCGUGAGAUGUUGGGUUAAGUCCCGCAACGAGCGCAACCCUUGAUCUUAGUUGCCAUCAUUAAGUUGGGCACUCUAAGGUGACUGCCGGUGACAAACCGGAGGAAGGUGGGGAUGACGUCAAAUCAUCAUGCCCCUUAUGACCUGGGCUACACACGUGCUACAAUGGACGGUACAAAGAGCUGCAAGACCGCGAGGUGGAGCUAAUCUCAUAAAACCGUUCUCAGUUCGGAUUGUAGGCUGCAACUCGCCUACAUGAAGCUGGAAUCGCUAGUAAUCGCGGAU